AACGAACGCUGGCGGCAGGCUUAACACAUGCAAGUCGAGCGCCCCGCAAGGGGAGCGGCAGACGGGUGAGUAACGCGUGGGAACGUACCCUUUGCUACGGAAUAGCUCCGGGAAACUGGAAUUAAUACGGUAUCUGCCCUAGGGGGGAAAGAAUUAUCUGCAAACGAUCGGUCCGUGUUGGAUUAGCUAGUUGGGGAGGUAAAGGCUCAUCAAGGCGACGUUCUAUAGCUGGUCUGAGAGGAUGUGAAGGCCCACUGGGACUGAGAUACGGUCCAGACUCCUACGGGAGGCAGCAGUGGGGAAUAUUGCGCAAUGGGCGAAAGCCUGGCGCAGCCAUGCCGCGUGAAUGAUGAAGGUCUUAGGAUUGUAAAAUUCUUUUACCAGGGACGAUAAUGACGGUACCUGGAGAAAAAGCCCCGGCUAACUUCGUGCCAGCAGCCGCCGUAACAC
rnacentral:rRNA from 1 species